rnacentral:ncRNA from 1 species
CAAAAGAAUGAAAGGAGAAAAGGUUAGUGCUCCCUUUGACAAGGAUGGAAGAGGCCCUUGGGCCUGACAACACAUACACAAUUAAGGCAUUGCACCUACUUCAUGACACCUAGCCAUCGUCUUAA